rnacentral:tRNA from 1 species
GCCGGGAUGGUCUAAUCGGUGAAGGCGUCGCGCCGGACAGGCGAAGGUUGCGGGUUCAAUCCUCGCUCUUGGCC